rnacentral:lncRNA from 1 species
CUUGCCAGGAAGGCCCGGGGCUUGAGGCCCUGGAAGGCCUGGCCCGUUCAGGAGUCCCGGCUGUUUGGGGGAAUGUCCCACGCCCUGUGGGGAUUUGAGCCGUGUCUCCCGGCCGACUUGGGUGUCCCGGUUGGUGUGUGGUCGGGCCUGGGACGGGCGUGGUGCGGGCGGGAACCGCCGGGUAGCGACCACGUCUCGUCAGGGGGUUCGUGCCUGCUGCUGGGCACGGGAACGGCUCCGGGGGGGUCUUACGGGCGCUGAGGGGAUUCCGCAUCAUGGAGAGGUCAAGGGGAGUUGGUGGCCGUCACCCUUCGUCAGGGCAGGGUAGCAUCAGUGCUCCCGUGCUGGGGUUCCUGGAGAGCCGGCUGGCACGGACAGACUCUUGUGAGGGCAAGUGGCUGAUCGUGCGUCGGAUGGGUCCAGCAAAGGAGAGAAAGCUUCGGUGCGCGCGCGCUCGCCAGGGAAAGGGUGACAGCGGGUGGGACCGAGAGGGAGAGAGAGAGAGGGAGAGAACAAAGGAAGAGAGAGGGUUUCCGCAGGGGCGGUGAGUCCUGGCGGAAGUCCUGAGGCAGAGGAGGUGCCAGGGGUUUGGGUUUCCCGGUCGUGUCGGGGGUGUGGCGCAGGUUGCCCCAGUGGGCCUGAAUGUGCCUCCGUGGGGCACCUUGUUGCCGUGUUGGGGGGCGGGGAGCCGGCCUUGGGGAUCCAUCUUUCGGGCCCUGGGACGUGGGAGAAGAAUGCCGGGGCCUCUCUCUGUGCCCCUGGCACGCCUCUGUGCAGGCCGGGCCUGCACCACCCCCCGCGCCCGUCCCCCAGGCAGGGUCCGUGUGGCUGCAGACACCCAGAGAGAGGGGAGGCUGGGGAGGCUGGGGAGCCGUGGCAGCCCGAUGCAGUGCGGGUCUCCAGGUGGAGGGGCCCUGGUCCCCUGGCGCCAGCGUGGCCCUUCCUCCUUGUGGAAACCCUUGUGGUGUGUGUGCUCUCUCGCCCUGACCCAGGAGAGCAGCAUGGCGGACCCCUGAUCUUGUGGCGUGCCACCGCGCGAGGCCGAGGAGCUCCCGCAGACCAGUGGGCGUGGCGUCCUUGUCGCGGCUCUGUGGAGACCUGGCGAUGGAGAGCAGCAUGGCGGACCCCUGAUCUUGUGGCGUGCCACCGCGCGAGGCCGAGGAGCUCCCGCAGACCAGUGGGCGUGGCGUCCUUGUCGCGGCUCUGUGGAGACCUGGCGAUGGUGAGCGGCCCCUGUCCUCAGUGGUGGAGAACUCGCCCUUGGGGCGCUCGUCUGUCCGGAGCCCCGGGCCAGCCCCGCUUCUCGCGGGCUUUGGCCCCGGCAGGCCAGCUCCGGGGGCGUGAGGGGGAGCGUCCCGUCCUGCCCAGUGGCUCGUCUGUCUGGGCACGCCCCCAAACGCUGCCGUGAUGGAGCGGGUGGGAUGUCCAGGUGCGGAGGCCGUGAAUUUGCCUUGCGGCGGCGGAGCCCGUGCUCGGAUCGAUGAUGACUCCCUCUAAAGCAUUCCUUGGAAAUCUGAACAAAUGAGUGAGAACUCACUACCGUCUCCUCAUCGAAACUGAGGUCCGGCACGUGGCGGCCACCGGGGGCUCGGGGGUAGAUGGGCCCUUGGCCUUGGGGCCUCUGGUGUCAGCAGCCACUCGGGUGAGGUCUGGGGAAGGCGGCCGCCUGCCGGGCCCAGGAAGCAUGGGGCCCGUGGCCCGGCGCUGGCCUCGGGGGAGAGGCCGCGUGCCCGAGCGUGCUGGAGAUCCCGGGCGGCCUCCCGCCGGCCUUGGGGGGUUUCGCAAGCCGUCGCGGGGGCCGAAAUUUGGGCCCGGCCCGCGAGGCAAGUGUGCGGCCCUAGGGCCCCAGGGGGCGUCCUGGCCCAGGCCGGGCGCCCUUCUCAGGAUGCUGUGGGGAGACGGGAUCCCGGCAGGGUAGUGUUCUCUUUCUGCUCUGGGGACCCCUGAGGGCCACCUGCUGCAGGGGGUCUGUGGUAGCGGGGGCCCUUGGAUCAGGGCCGUCCCCCAUGGGAGGGGGGGAGCCUGGGAACCCCUGAGGGCG